rnacentral:rRNA from 1 species
UACGAAGGGGGCUAGCGUUGCUCGGAAUCACUGGGCGUAAAGCGCACGUAGGCGGCUUGUUAAGUCAGGGGUGAAGUCCUGGAGCUCAACUCCAGAACUGCCUUUGAUACUGGCGAGCUUGAGUCCGGGAGAGGUGAGUGGAACUGCGAGUGUAGAGGUGAAAUUCGUAGAUAUUCGCAAGAACACCAGUGGCGAAGGCGGCUCACUGGCCCGGUACUGACGCUGAGGUGCGAAAGCGUGGGGAGCAAACAGG